rnacentral:rRNA from 1 species
ACGAACGCUGGCGGCACGCUUAACACAUGCAAGUCGAACGAGAGAAGCGAAGCUUGCUUUUCUGAUCUAGUGGCGGACGGGUGAGUAACACGUGAGCAAUCUGCCUUUCAGAGGGGGAUACCGAUUGGAAACGAUCGUUAAUACCGCAUAACAUAAUUGAACCGCAUGAUUUGAUUAUCAAAGAUUUAUCGCUGAAAGAUGAGCUCGCGUCUGAUUAGCUAGUUGGUAAGGUAACGGCUUACCAAGGCGACGAUCAGUAGCCGGACUGAGAGGUUGAUCGGCCACAUUGGGACUGAGACACGGCCCAGACUCCUACGGGAGGCAGCAGUGGGGAAUAUUGCACAAUGGAGGAAACUCUGAUGCAGCGAUGCCGCGUGAGGGAAGAAGGUUUUAGGAUUGUAAACCUCUGUCUUCAGGGACGAAAAAAGACGGUACCUGAGGAGGAAGCUCCGGCUAACUACGUG